rfam:Schistosoma haematobium scaffold631_11, whole genome shotgun sequence.
AUCCAGCUUACGAGUCCCAAAUAGAACAAAACGCGCGUCAAACUAGAU